rnacentral:rRNA from 1 species
UACGUAGGGUGCAAGCGUUGUCCGGAAUUAUUGGGCGUAAAGAGCUCGUAGGCGGUCUGUCGCGUCUGCUGUGAAAACUCAGGGCUUAACCCUGAGCUUGCAGUGGGUACGGGCAGACUAGAGUGCGGUAGGGGAGACUGGAAUUCCUGGUGUAGCGGUGAAAUGCGCAGAUAUCAGGAGGGAACACCCGGUGGCGAAGGCGGGUCUCUGGGCCGUAACUGACGCUGGAGGAGCGAAAGCCAUGGGGAGCGAACAGG